UAGAAGACNUCAUUCACAAUGAUCACUUUGA
rnacentral:tRNA from 1 species